GGGUUGUGAGGUUAAGCGACUAAGCGUACACGGUGGAUGCCCUGGCAGUCAGAGGCGAUGAAGGACGUGCUAAUCUGCGAUAAGCGUCGGUAAGGUGAUAUGAACCGUUAUAACCGGCGAUUUCCGAAUGGGGAAACCCAGUGUGAUUCGUCACACUAUCAUUAACUGAAUCCAUAGGUUAAUGAGGCGAACCGGGGGAACUGAAACAUCUAAGUACCCCGAGGAAAAGAAAUCAACCGAGAUUCCCCCAGUAGCGGCGAGCGAACGGGGAGCAGCCCAGAGCCUGAAUCAGUGUGUGUGUUAGUGGAAGCGUCUGGAAAGGCGCGCGAUACAGGGUGACAGC
rnacentral:rRNA from 3 species